GUUUUAACCUCCAGGCUCCUCCAUCUUCUCCUGCCAACUCUGUCAGUCCACCAGACCCAACAAUGCAGUCUCCACACCACUGCAGUAACAGCCAUAUCUUCACGUCACAAAGCUUCAGUACUAUCUGAAUGUGUUGAAGUACCAUCCAGCAUCCUGUGGCAACCGCAAUGUGAAUCAAAUCAAAUAAAUUAGAAUAUACAUCCGCACUGACCCGUGAAUCCGCACUGACCCAUGAUCACCACCGACCCGGGCUCUACAGAGGCAGCCUUGGAUGCCCAGGCUUUGCACACGUUCAAGAACA